AUUUUAAUUUUAAUUAUUAAAAUUAAGUAAUGAUGAUAAAAUUAGUAUAAAUUAAUAUAAUAAGUAUUUAUGUAUUAUAAGGUUAAGUAAAGGAAUUCGGCAAAUUAUUUUUUACCUGUUUAUUAAAAACAUGUCUUUUUGAGGAUAAUUUAAAGUCUCGCCUGCCCAAUGAGUUAUUGAAUGGCCGCGGUAAUUUGACCGUGCUAAGGUAGCAUAAUCAAUAGUUUUUUAAUUGAAAGCUGGAAUGAAGGGUUGGAUAAAAAAAUUACUGUCUUUAUUUAAUU
rnacentral:rRNA from 1 species